rnacentral:lncRNA from 1 species
CGCCUCGCCCGCGUGCGCGUGUCUUCGUCGGAUCUAGUAGUACAGUGGUAGUGAGAGUCUUAUUAGUGGUAGUAGCAGUAUUGUAGUGGUUGUGAUAGUGCCAUGGAGGGAGAGGCAUUUGUUUUGGUGGUCCGCCGGGCGGAUGGAUCUGAGGGUUUCGUGUGGGGAUUUUGAGAGGUUUUUGAGGGUGGAUUUGAUUAGCGUGGUUGGUGUGAGUCUAUUCCUAUUAUUUAGUCGCGUCUUGUGUACCUAGUGCUCACUGGCUCUGAGAGUAUUAUUAUUAUUGUUAUGGAUUUAUGAUAUUAUUAUUAUUGUUAUAUUAUUCUCGCGUAUCAUCUCUGUUCAGUUUCAGUAGAUUUAUGCUUAUUAUCAGCAAAAUUCACUGAAAUUUCAUAGAAGAUCACUGUCGCAAAAUCUUAAAUUCACGGUGUGUUAUGAGACCGAUUCCGUUGGGCAUCUGCCCUGUCCAGACACUGCGAGGUGUAUGGUUUUGGCAUGCCCUGCUGAGAAUCUGAGCAGAUUGAUAUGAUUCGAGAUGGAAUUUUGUGUGUGCGCGACAUGUGUCCCGGCAUGAAGGGAAGGGUAGAAAGCUUGAGACCGAGGCAGCUUAAAGGCUAAGCAAGCACACGCACGCAGUACGUGUGAGCGAGGGAGGCCGCGCCAGAGCGGAGAUGGAGAUGCCUGUACGGCGUGGCCCACCUGUUUGGGCAGCACAUGGGCAGCGGUUGGGGGUUCGUUGUGACCACCUGGCCGACGCCCCCGCCACCCAGAGGAAUAGCUCAAUCGCAUCGCGUUGCCAAGACUUUCCAGAAUUUUCUGCGUGUAUAAUGCGCCCUUCCAUACUUGGGAAUCCUGGGAAUUCCCCCUCCCAAACGACGCUAACCAGAAUACCAAACGACGCUAACCAGAAUAGGAAUCCAUCCACGCUAACAAAGAAAUGGGAAUCCUGAUGUUCCUUGGUACCCAUGAGCUUUCCAGCUGAACUCGUCGACAAAGAAGCCCAUCAGAAAACAAAACGACAUCUAAGCUAGACGCGAACCAUGUUCGGGCCAAAUGCCGGCCCUCUAAGCAUGGCCCAGAACUUAAUUUAUUAUACUCGAUGCUAAAAAUUGCUUUCAAAGAUUAUCCUAAAACAAAGAUAUCCAUCAAGAUAGCAAAAAGUUGAGAAUAUUUCAUCAGAGGGAGAAAGGAAAACAGCCAAACAGGCAUGAAAGAGCCGAUGAACCUGGGGCCUCAACUAAUUAUAAGCCUGAGGUCAGCAACAAUAAACUUGAACUUAUAAUCUUAUUCCUUUCCCUGACGAACUAGGCAUAUCGACAAGAUUAUCUGUUUAUUUGUGACAAGAAUCAAAACAAUUGGUGGACCAAAAAUGACUUUCUUCUCCAAUGGAAGGUCAUGGCAGCACCUAUACCAUAAUAUAGGAACUAACUAAACCGUUCAGCUUGCUUCCCCCCCCCCCCCCCCCCCCCCCCCCCCCCCCCCCCCCCCCCCAGCCUACCUCACGGACAAAAAAGAGAGAAGAUCUCCGAUUAGAAGCUAAUCCAAGUAGAAAAGCGUCACGAUCUUCCGAAGGUUCUUGGCCUCCUGGCAUGUCUCCAUCAGCAGCUUGCUGUCAUGGAACGCGAAGCAGAUCACCUGUUGGAUCUUCGAGAUGAUGUCCAUGUUGCAUAACCUGAAGGUUACAAGAGUUGCCAUUAAGCAUAAAGAUGAUAUUCAAGAAGCAAUACUGAUUUACAGAAAAUGUGACUUGUCUUUCAGUUCGUCAAAUAGGCAAAAAGACAGAUGCUCGUCGUCUAGAAUACAACAGAUAAACCCCAAAAGUUUACGACCUGUCGCCAUAAUAGUGUAGUAUCAACUCUGAAAAAUAAACUACUCUACAGCUACAGAUGCAUACCCUUGGCCCUUGGGCAGACCCCAAUCUAGAGCUAUAGUUCAUGGCGUCAACCUGUCCAAUGCUUGUUUCGCGUAAGUUCUGUAAAUGAGGCAUCAGAUACUCUUGCAGAAUGUACAGAACAUAGUAUUUGUUUUUCAUGGCAUUAUGAGGUUACUAAUAGUAUUCCAACCAUCUAUGUAACAAUCAAUGAGUUAAAAAAAGUGAUGUCGGUUUUCAUCAAAAGCAUAGUCUCUGACAAGUGCUGGAACUAAAUGAUACACUGAUCAGGCAUGGACCGAAUACAUGUAGCGACACCAUUGGUAACAAAAAAUAUACAAUAUAGGAAAAGUAUGAGCAAUUUCGAAAGGUAGCUGACCAACCUGCUAGCCUCAAUCAGUGGCAAAUGGUCAUACUGUGGUUUCUCAAUCAAAUUUUGUACCUACAAAGUAUACAAAACCUUACUGAAGCAUUUUAAAUUUUACCAUAUGGAAAUGGAACAUCAGGAGGAUGCUAUUUAACUCCUGAGGCAUGCUAUUGGAAUUAAUGCAUAUGACAGUGGAUGCCUAAUAAUCUCACUAUCUAGCCAGAAUCCUAGAUCAUAGGAUAAUGCUGAUGUUUUCUGAACAAUUGCAAGCGGGUUCUGGCCUGGUUGGCUAGCUCAUUGUAGAGCGGAGCUAGCAACCGCGGUUUGAAUCCCUGUUUGCACAGAUAUUAAGCCAUCUAAUAUGGCCGGGGGCUAAACCCCUGUAAUCGUUUUUUUUCCUGAAAACUUCAGAUGCCAUGGUGAGACAUUCCUAACCAAAUUGAUCGCAUUGAUUUUUAAGCAUAUUUACAAUCAAGCUUGAUAAAGAUAGCAACAAAACACCCUAAGGAUCCAAAAUUAAAUACAAACUUUCUUAUGUUUUCUUGUGUAAGAACAGAUGUACAACAGAACUGAAGGUUAAUGGUAACAGCAGAAUUAAUUCAGAAGCCUGCAGUGAAAAUAAAUAGAAUGCUCUCUUGGUGAAGGAUGAAUCAGGUCAACUAUUUAUCUUCGUAUUACUCUAUAGUCUAUACAGAAGAGCAUACACAUAACAAUAACGAAGCACAAUGUUCUCCUAAAGAAUGUUUACAUGUAUGGUCAGGGGAUAUCAAACUAAAAAGAAUUGGCUGUAAGACCUAACUCAGAGAUGAUAAUACUGUAGUUUACUGUAAACAAAGUAUCAUCAAACAUCAGUUCAUUGAUAGAAAAACACAACUAAGGAAGCUCAUGCAUUUGUCAUACAACCAGCAUCAUCAUGCCUACACCAAUUUGAAUAUCAUAUAGAUUACAAACAUGAUUCAUACACAAGCAUGGGUACAUCUUCUCCUUUUUCGUGGAGCACUAAGAAAUUCUGCAUAACUUGUCUCAAUAUGCUGAAUUUAAUGCGAUGAGCAGUCUAUCAAUACAAAAUCACUAAAUGCCAGCACUAAAUAUAUAGAACAACAGGUAUAUUGGCGCGCAUAGGAAUCUAUACGAAUAGGUCUGGAACUAAUUUUGACUAGAAAAUGACAAGUCAGAAUAGAAAUAUCAGGAAGUCUUACUUUGGACAACAGUUCUUGGCUUUCAGGAGGUUGCUUCUUUAGACUCUGAGGUAAAAUUACAGUAAGCAACUCUGGCUUUUCAGCUCUUAAAGCGCCCCUGAUAACAGCUGCAUUAGUUCCGGAAGCCCCAGAUGUGAAUAUAUGAUUUUUCUGCAAUUUCUACACAAAUAUUACUAACAAUGCUAGAGGACUCAAAGACCAUAUGAAUGGCAACAUCAAAUAAAUCAGGGAGAUCAUAUGAAUCAGUGAAUCACAGUAGCACAUAAAUAAAGAACAUACUGUUAUGACCAUAGCAUAGCUCAGGAUCUCAAUAAGCUGCUGAUGCAUAUACCCCAUGUUGCGGGUUCCAAAGAAACCUAUUGCACGAGGUCCUUGUUGCUGAAUAGCCAACAGCUCCUGCAUGACCACCAAUUAAAUGAGAUCAGUUUGCAGGAUAAAUCAAUUCAUAAACGCCAUGUAUACAAAGUAGCAUUCAUUAUUGAAAGUCUGAUUGUACUAAACUAACUUUCAGAGGUAACCACUAAAGUUAACUUUGAGUAAACUGAACAGAAAAAAACAAAA